rnacentral:rRNA from 1 species
GCUAACGUGGUGGCGAGAGAUGGGUUAAUGCGGAGGGGGUGAGGGUUGCUCGGUGGUAGUGGGCGUAAAGCGCACGUGGGCGGGUUGUUAAGUCGGGGGUGAAAGUCGGGAGCUCAACUCGAGAACUGCCUUCGAUACGGGCGAUCUCGAGUUCGGGAGAGGUGAGUGGAACUGGGAGUGUAGAGGUGAAAUUCGUAGAUAUUCGCAAGAACACCAGUGGCGAAGGCGGCUCACUGGCCCGAUACUGACGCUGAGGUGCGAAAGCGUGGGGAGCAAACAGGAUUAGAUACCCCAGUAGUC